UACGUAGGGGGCUAGCGUUGCUCGGAAUUACUGGGCGUAAAGGGAGCGUAGGCGGACAUUUAAGUCAGGGGUGAAAUCCCAGAGCUCAACUCUGGAACUGCCUUUGAUACUGGGUGUCUUGAGUGUGAGAGAGGUAUGUGGAACUCCGAGUGUAGAGGUGAAAUUCGUAGAUAUUCGGAAGAACACCAGUGGCGAAGGCGACAUACUGGCUCAUUACUGACGCUGAGGCUCGAAAGCGUGGGGAGCAAACAGG
rnacentral:rRNA from 1 species